UACGUAGGUGGCAAGCGUUGUCCGGAUUUAUUGGGUUUAAAGGGUGCGUAGGCGGCCUUGUAAGUCAGUGGUGAAAUACUCCAGCUUAACUGGAGGGGUGCCAAUGAUACUGCAGGGCUUGAGUACAGAUGAGGUAGGCGGAAUUGACGGUGUAGCGGUGAAAUGCAUAGAUAUCGUCAAGAACACCGAUAGCGAAGGCAGCUUACUGGGCUGUAACUGACGCUGAUGCACGAAAGUGUGGGGAUCAAACAGG
rnacentral:rRNA from 1 species